UACAAUCGCGAUUCAACCCGCCCCGAUUCAUCUUCUUCCUCGAUCGAACCCGGAAACCGCGAUUCAAUCGCGAGAAAUUGUAUACAGCAGCAGCGCGCGUCUCCUCCUCUUUGUCCCUUAUCCUCCUUACCGAAUCUUCCAGGUGUCUCAAUCUUGUGUUUCGUCCGUCCUUGCUCCUCAGAUCGAACGGUGCUCCUUGGAAUUCCGUUGGGAAUCAGUACUGCCCAACUCUCCAACCUUAUCCCUUCAAGAAAAAUUCAAAAUUUGAAAAAUUUUGAAAUUCAAUUCGUUUUCCCCCUUUAAUCAACCCAUAUAUUCCUUUAUUUAAGGCCUUCACCCUUUUCAUUCAAAAGGGGGGAGAUGGUUGGAGAGAGUUGGCGAAAAAAAUUGGAAAAUGGGGGUUAGAAAGGAGAAGAAUAGAAGCAAACACAGUUAUAUAAAUUUAUCAAAAAGUUGUUGAUUUCUAUUUUGUUUGCGGGGUUAUAGAUUUUCGAUAUCAAACUUCCCUUUUAAAAUUUCCCGUAUUCUUUUGUCGAAAGCUCUCAUCGGAAGUGUGGAAGUCUCUGUUUGGUUUGUUAUUGUCUCAGACACUGCUCAUCAAGAGGGGGUGCUCCCCGGAUGUGACAGGUUUGAUGGACCGGAGGAAAAUUCUGGAAAAUGUUGACGCUUGGAUUUUGAGAAGUCGGUGACGUUUGGUGUGAGGAGCUAGCAUGAUGCGAGUUAGGAUUGGUCAAGUCAAUGGUGUAAGGUUAGGAAUUAUAGUUGUUGUUGAAUUAUUUGAAAAAUGUUAUAUUGGAUCCAAAGUAGGAAAAUGGAGUGGUGGUCUUCCGUUGUCUGGAAUAAGAGUGUUAGCAAUGAUACCUAGAAUUGUCAAAUCUCGAUUCUUAUUCAGUUCAUCCCUCAUUUCAGCAAUCUGUCAGAUUAAUUGUGCUAUCAACUUGUUUUUGUUCGUCAAUGAUAGGGUCAUUCACAGUAAUUUCAUUCAGAUCAGUAUUCACAACAUUUUCAACCACUUUUUCUUUGUCUUUUGACAAACAUUGAUCGGAGAAGGGAUCUUUGCAUCUUUGGACCUCGUGAUGUAUGGAUGUUCAGUCAUUUUCUCAACAAAUAUCAAUUUUGAGUACGUGACAAAGAAAAAUAACUCAAAGUCAAAUGUGUUAGUCUGCGUCGAUGAUAAUUAAUACAAAAUAUCACCCACAGUACUGUAAACACAUAGGGUUGCUUCAUUUGAACAUAAACUUGCCCACAUAUAUAGAGAAAUGACUAAAUAGAUGGAAAUUUGUCCAUUUGAUUUUUAA